UACGGAGGGGGCUAGCGUUGUUCGGAAUUACUGGGCGUAAAGCGCGCGCAGGCGGCUCUUUAAGUCUGACGGUGAAAUGCCGGGGCUCAACCCCGAGCGUGCCGGAGAUACUGGAGGGCUGGAGACGAGUAGAGGCAAGCGGAAUUCCGGGUGUAGCGGUGGAAUGCGUAGAGAUCCGGAAGAACACCGGAGGCGAAGGCGGCUUGCUGGGCUCGGUCUGACGCUGAGGCGCGAAAGCGUGGGGAGCGAACAGG
rnacentral:rRNA from 1 species